rnacentral:rRNA from 1 species
CCUACGGGGGGCAGCAGUGGGGAAUAUUGCACAAUGGGGGAAACCCUGAUGCAGCGACGCCGCGUGAGUGAAGAAGUAAUUCGUUAUGUAAAGCUCUAUCAGCAGGGAAGAAAAUGACGGUACCUGAGUAAGAAGCCCCGGCUAACUACGUGCCAGCAGCCGCGGUAAUACGUAGGGGGCAAGCGUUAUCCGGAUUUACUGGGUGUAAAGGGAGCGUAGACGGCAGUGCAAGUCUGGAGUGAAAGGCGGGGGCUCAACCCCCGGACUGCUCUGGAAACUGUACGGCUGGAGUGCAGGAGAGGUAAGUGAAAGUCCGAGGGGAGCGGUGAAAGGCGUAGAUAGUAGGAGGAAGACCAGUGGCGAAGGCGGCUUACGGGACUGUAACUGACGUGGAGGUUCGAAAGCGUGGGGAGAAAACAGGAUUAGAUACCCGGGUAGUC